CUCCUCUCAGGAUUACAUUUGGAGAGUUUCCAGUACUCUACCAGUCUCAACUACAGGAGGGAGAGUCAAGCAGAGGCCUAUCCAUUCCAUUCCUAGCUUGGACAGUGGUUAGCGAGUGGAAGGCAAUCUGCUACAAGU
rfam:Ornithorhynchus anatinus chromosome 3, whole genome shotgun sequence.